GACGAAGGGGGCUAGCGUUGUUCGGAAUUACUGGGCGUAAAGCGCGUGUAGGCGGUUGUCCAAGUCGGAUGUGAAAGCCUUGAGCUCAACUCAAGAAAUGCACUCGAUACUGGGCGACUAGAGUGCCGGAGAGGAUAGUGGAAUUCCCAGUGUAGUGGUGAAAUACGUAGAGAUUGGGAAGAACACCAGUGGCGAAGGCGGCUAUCUGGACGGUUACUGACGCUAAGACGCGAAAGCGUGGGGAGCAAACAGG
rnacentral:rRNA from 1 species